AGGUAAUAUCAAAAUUUAGAUAAACCUAUUUAUUUUGGCGGCAAUUAAUCUUAUUAAAGGAACUCGUUUAAUAAUCGACAAUACUCGUUUAAUUUCACUUAAAUUAAAAUUCUAUAUACCGCCAUCUAAAGAAUCAUUUUACAAAAACUAUUCUAAAUAAUUCCUAUAAAAAGUUAGGUCAAGGUGUAAUUAAUAUUUAAGUACAAAUAAGUUACAUUAAAAAAUAUUUAAGGAUUUAUUUCCAAAUAAAACAUGAAAAAGAAUUUAAAUGUAAUUUUAAAAUAAAAAUUUAAUAUGAAUAAGAUAACAAAUGUGC
rnacentral:rRNA from 1 species